ACUGCUCAGUAACACGUGGAUAACCUGCCCUGCGGUGGGAAAUAACCCCGGGAAACUGGGGAUAAUGUCCCAUAGGCUACGGAUGCUGGAAUGCUCUGUAGCUCAAAGAUUUAUCGCCACAGGAUGGGUCUGCGGCCGAUUAGGUAGUUGUUGGGGUAACGGCCCAACAAGCCUUUGAUCGGUACGGGUUGUGGGAGCAAGAGCCCGGAGAUGGAUUCUGAGACACGAAUCCAGGCCCUACGGGGCGCAGCAGGCGCGAAAACUUUACAAUGCGGGAAACCGUGAUAAGGGAACUCCGAGUGUCCGUAAAUGCGGACUGUCCGUAUGUUUAAAAAGCAUGCGAAGAAAGGGCCGGGCAAGACCGGUGCCAGCCGCCGCGGUAAUACCGGCGGCUCGAGUGGUGGCCACUAUUACUGGGCUCAAAGCGUUCGUAGCUGGGUUGUUAAGUUUCUUGGGAAAUCUACCGGCUUAACCGAUAGGCGUCCAAGGGAUACUGGCAAUCUAGGGACCGGGAGAGGUGAGGGGUACUUCAGGGGUAGGAGUGAAAUCCUGUAAUCCUUGGGGGACCACCUGUGGCGAAGGCGCCUCACCAGAACGGCUCCGACAGUGAGGGACGAAAGCUGGGGGAGCAAACCGGAUUAGAUACCCGGGUAGUCCCAGCCGUAAACGAUGCGCGUUAGGUGUAUCGAUGACCACGAGUCAUCGAGGUGCCGAAGGGAAACCGUGAAACGCGCCGCCUGGGAAGUACGGUCGCAAGGCUGAAACUUAAAGGAAUUGGCGGGGGAGCA
rnacentral:rRNA from 1 species